rnacentral:rRNA from 1 species
GAUGAACGCUAGCGGGAGGCCUAAUACAUGCAAGUCGAACGGUAAGGUCCCUUCGGGGAUACACGAGUGGCGGACGGGUGCGUAACGCGUACGAAACAUACCUUCAACAGGGAGAUACCUCCGGGAAACUGGAAAUAAUACCCCAUAGUAUUGAGAUAACGCAUGAUAUUUCAAUUAAAGCUUUGGCGGUUGAAGAUUGUCGUGCGUCUGAUUAGCUAGUUGGUGAGGUAACGGCUCACCAAGGCGACGAUCAGUAGCUGGUCUGAGAGGAUGAUCAGCCACACUGGAACUGAGACACGGUCCAGACCUCCGUACGGGAGCAGCAGGUAGGGAAUAGUUGG